rnacentral:rRNA from 1 species
GAGUUUGAUCGUGGCUCAGGACGAACGCUGGCGGCGUGCUUAACACAUGCAAGUCAAGGGGGCCCAGCAAUGGGCAACCGGCGAACGGGUGCGUAACACGUGAGCAACCUACCGAAAUGCGGGGGAUAGCCGGCCUAACGGCCGAGUAAUACCGCAUACGCUCUUUAUGAGGCAUUUCAUGGAGAGGAAACCUACGGGGUAUUUCGAGGGGCUCGCGGCCUAUCAGCUAGUUGGCGAGGUAACGGCUCACCAAGGCAACGACGGGUAGCUGGCCUGAGAGGAUGGCCAGCCACAUUGGGACUGAGAUACGGCCCAGACUCCUACGGGGAGGCAGCAGUGGGGAAUCUUGCGCAAUGGCCUAACGGCUGACGCAGCGACGCCGCGUGUGGGAUGAAGCUCCUCGGAGUGUAAACCACUGUUGCCCGGGACGAAUAGCUCGAUUAAUCGAGCCUGACGGUACCGGGUGAGGAAGCACCGGCUAACUCCGUGCCAGCAGCCG